GCAAAAUCCGAAUUUUUUUCUUGUAAGUUUUCAGAUGAAAAGAAAAAUUGUCAAAUGAUUAGUGAUCAUGAUUAUAAUUAGAUUUGAAACUUGAAAUGUUUUUUUUUCCCUUUAAAAAAACCCUCAACCAAACAGAAAAUAUUGGUGAUCAAGCGGUACGGAAGAUUCUUAGGACUUUUCAAGCAAUCACCCAGUCUACGACUCAUCCUGUCAAAUGCCGAUUUGUCUCGCAAAAUCUAUCUAUUGCUUUUUCAUCGGACCCGAUUGGUCGAGGGUCAAACGGUUGUCCUCCAAACGGUGGGACGGUAAGGUAGAGUGACGGGAGGGAUGGGGAAUAUCAGCCUUUGUGUGCUCGGGAUUGACAGGAAAACAAGUCAACAUU